UACGUAGGGGGCGAGCGUUGUCCGGAUUUAUUGGGCGUAAAGAGCGUGUAGGCGGCCAGGUAGGUCUGCUGUGAAAACUCGAGGCUCAACCUCGAGACGUCGGCGGAAACCAUCUGGCUAGAGUCCGGAAGAGGAGAGUGGAAUUCCUGGUGUAGCGGUGAAAUGCGUAGAGAUCGGGAAGAACAUCGGUGGCGAAAGCGCUCUACUGGACCGCAACUGACACUCAGGGACGAAAGCUAGGGGAGCGAAUGGG
rnacentral:rRNA from 1 species